GGGGUUGUAGCUCAGUGGUAGAGCACCUGCCCUGCAUGUGUGAGGCACUGGGUUCGAUUCUCAGCACCA
rnacentral:tRNA from 1 species